GUGACUAGAAGGUUCUUUUGCUAUUGAUACAUAAAAGUGUCUGGGCACAACACACCUCCAGCUUUGGAGAUCUGUGGGUUUCCAGGCUACUACUGGGCCAGUGACACGUACAUGAGGAAUGAAUUCAUAUAAUUUUGACAGUGCUAAAAAGGGGAAUUGACAUUCGGAAGGCUUUAGCGACUCUCCUGUACUCAUUCAUAUAGCCAGAAGGUCCAGGAACCUGAAGGUCAAAGGACACUUCUGACUUCUUCUAACCGCCCCACUGUGGAGGAGGGGUCUACCCUGGGAACCCGGAAAG
rnacentral:lncRNA from 1 species